GAUCAUCAAUUACACGGAACAAAAUCCGGUCGGCGGAUCCGACAAAUAUUCGCGAUGAAUUCGAAAACAUUCAAUGUUUCCGAAAUCAAGGAAAAUGUUUGCAAAAUCGGAAGAAUUGUUUUCGAUGUUGAAGCUAAAUGUUUACGAAAUCGCAAACAUCUUGUUUGCGGCGCAUUUUUCUGAGCGAUCCGCCGCAGCCACCGCAGCUGAUGCGUUACGCUGUCAGAAUCAGCUGGUCGCGCUACCUAAAUUUAAAGUAAACAAACUUCAAAUCGAGCGCAAAGGAAAAAACGAACAACAGUGGGUCGCGUCCCGGGAUUUAGGUGAUUUAGGUUCCUCUCAACUGGCCGGAUUUAGACAUUUGGUAGUGAUGGAUCUGCUUCGGAAAAACCACGGAAUCUACAUCGAUCGCUGGAACCAAAAUUUAGCUCCCUGCUGGCUCGACCGGAACAAUUUUAUAAGAUUGUUCGUUCGCUCUCAGUUCUCGACCGAUUGUAGAUCGGUAUAAUCCGGUUUCCGCUGAUCUCACGACUGCCGGUUGCUCCCCGGAAACAUGAUUGUGAUUCGAAAGUGUGAAACCUAAACAAUUUUAUGUGAUAAGUCUUACCAGCACGGAAUCAAAUAUUGGUUUGACGACGGUUGUGCAUUCCGUGACUUUCCGAAGCAUACCCUGCCCUGCCGGAGAACCUAAUCCAAAUCAAUGCCAUUUAGAUUAAAAAUGCUGCUCCUAAAGCUGAUGGAAUAACGGAACGAAUCGAGCAGGCGGGUCAGUUUAGUCACUUGGUGUCGGAAGCCGUAUCCGCGCCAUUAAGAACUUUUUCACCGGAAGUGUUACGAGAGCACGGAUUCCAUCAGAACCGCCCUCGUGCCAUCAAACGGAAUCCGAGGAGCGUCAGGAGAUCAACACAGGCCUACUGCUCCGGGUAAAAAUUGCACUGAAGGAAUUGGUAGCACCUGGUUCAUGGACCCGCCUGAUAACCGAGAAUGGCCUUGACCGAGUUUACCUUUAGAAACUCUCAGCAACGACUUGUGUCCACGAUUUAAGAUGGAAGCCAAAUGAGGUUAUUCAAAAUUGUCCAGAAAGAUUCCGGGAAAGCAGAAUCGACUAUUUCGCAGCAAUUCGAGAAUGGAAGUCCUAGCAGCGAAGGACUACCUCCCAGUAGGAACACCAGCUGGCUGCGGUCACUUUCGAGAAGCUGAUUUUUUUCCGAGCUGAUUCGAUCUUGUAAGGUUAGUUGACCGAAACCGUUGAAUGAGCAAAAUAUUUUACCGGAAUUAUUCAUUUUCAGCUGCUUGCUCCACUGUUCCCGGCCACCCAACUUUUUAUAGCCAAAGGAGGCUCGCUCUGUGGUCCAAACCAGUACAUCGGAAGGAAUCUCCGCCAGGGAAACUCUCUGCGUUCAUUCCUUAUUCACGAAAGUCUCUAUUCGAUUCGCGUCUGGCCAAGCAAAAGAGUUCAAACGCGGUUGAGUCGCGUCGUUAUGUAAAGAUCCCGAAAGAACCACUCUUGGACAUGUUAUAGCUCGCAUGUGUUCGACGACUCGAAGAGUGAACAGAUAGAACCGGAGACGGUCGCUGGGAGCUUGCCGCUUCCCGAGCUACCAAGAGGCCGUUGACGCGGAUCGGAACGCCGCUGAGAUCUCCUAAGUUGAGCUCGAUGGUUUAAAACAACGUCACCUGUCUCCAAUGCAUCCGUUUCGAGCACUUGAUGGUGGAGGAAAACCAAGCAAACGAUUUUGCGGAAAGUCAGCUGACACGGGAAGUGGACUCAUCUCAGCAGUGUCAGCAGAUCACGGGAGGCUUCAGGGAGUUUGAAAGCACCAUGCUCGACACCAGCAACGUUGAGGUCCCCACUCCCCCUUGGUAGCUGAUCUGGAUCUGGCCGAAUCAACUGUUGCUGCUACAACCGCGGUGUAAAGCAGUCGGUUCCGGUUGGCCAGCAUUUUUUAAGAUCGAAGCUGGUGAUUCGCAAGUCGGUGUCGCUGGUGUUGCGAAGUACCGCAGGAUUAUGAGGUGUACGACUGGGAAAAAGAUUGCCUCGUUCUGGCGGAGAUCGUCGAGCGGCACCGCCUGACCUACGCGCUUCCGAAGAGCGGUGGCAAAACUCUCGUUGCCGAAAUGCUGCGGGGCUGAUGUUGCGCAACCGGAACGGCAUGUUCAUCGGCACAUUCAGAACACGUGUAGUUCGCGCAGAAAUAUGCCCUGGCGCCGUUUGCCGUCAAUUUGGCAUUCCUGGUGAAAUAUUUCCGCGAUGGCAAGGAAGUGAUUUCACCACGCAAGGAAGAAAAAAACAAAUUUUUGUUAGCAAUCAAAAAUUUGCUGGUCUAUUAGACGGACUAAUCCAGAUUAAUCAAACAAAAGCGAACGGUUAAUUGAAAAUAAAAUAAAAAUGAUGUUUACCAACAAAAUUCUCCUUCUUCUUCUUCUUCUUCUUAUUGGAAUGCACAAUUUUAUUCGAACUCCAACGGUCAAUUUGAAUAGCAGAAAUUUGAAGUGGCUGCGUGCUGCGUGCUUUUGACAGAGCAGCGUUACGGAUUCAAAAGAGCGUUACGUUUGCGAUAUCGGAAAUCAUCGUUUGCGAUAUUGGAAGCAAUGCUUCCUGCUGACGGGUGCAAACCAAGAUUUGCGAUUUUUAGAGUAAAUCGGAAGCAAAGUUUGCGAUUCCGCAAACCGGAUUUUGUUCCGUGUAGCUAGGGCUUAAAUUACGUUUAAAAUCCGGUCACUUCGGUCCUCUUGGUACAC